rnacentral:rRNA from 1 species
ACGGGUGAGUGAUACAUCGGAACGUAUCCUGGAGUGGGGGAUAGCCCGGCGAAAGCCGGAUUAAUACCGCAUACGCUCUGAGGAGGAAAGCGGGGGACCUUCGGGCCUCGCGCUCAAGGGGCGGCCGAUGGCGGAUUAGGUAGUUGGUGGGGUAAAGGCCUACCAAGCCGACGAUCCGUAGCUGGUCUGAGAGGACGACCAGCCACACUGGGACUGAGACACGGCCCAGACUCCUACGGGAGGCAGCAGUGGGGAAUUUUGGACAAUGGGGGCAACCCUGAUCCAGCAAUGCCGCGUGUGUGAAGAAGGCCUUCGGGUUGUAAAGCACUUUUGUCCGGAAAGAAAUCAUCGGGGCCAAUACCCCUGGUGGAUGACGGUACCGGAAGAAUAAGCACCGGCUAACUACGUGCCAGCAGCCGCGGUAAUACGUAGGGUGCGAGCGUUAAUCGGAAUUACUGGGCGUAAAGCGUGCGCAGGCGGUGCUGUAAGACCGAUGUGAAAUCCCCGGGCUUAACCUGAGAACUGCAUUGGUGACUGCAGCGCUGGAGUAUGGCAGAGGGGGGGUGGAAUUCCACGU